rnacentral:lncRNA from 1 species
CAGGAAACUCCCCCUAUCACGAGCAACUCAUUUUCCUAACAUUUUUCCCUCUUCAACAUACCAAAUAUACCUCUGGCAAGCUCGUCCAAGCAUAGGGUACUUGAAAUCUUGACACUAUUUCUAAAGCUUUUCUUCCUCUUUUAGCCUGUUGGUACCAAUAUGUUACUCCUGCUUGCUUAUAUACUCCAGGCACAAUUGGGAGGCACUGGAGUAGUGUAGGGGAAACACCAGUCGGGUUGAAGCGACAGAGGGAGAGGACAGCCCGGACUGCGGGCAUAGAUACGGGAUUCAGGCCCAGCGGAGUCAUCCCCGCCUUGUGAUUUGCAAGAAGGGUGGUGGGGAUGGGUGGUAAAACGGCACGGGCCAAGGGAGGAGGCAAAGAGGGUGCAUAUGGGACAGUGGGGAUGAGAAAGAAGGAAACAACCAAUUUAGAUCCUAGGGCCCCAUGGGCGAUGAGGGGCAAAUAGAGAAAUCUAGCCCCAUUCUNUCCCCAUGGGCGAUGAAGGGCAAAUAGAGAAACCUAGCCCCAUUCUCCCUCAAUCCCUCCUUGGCGAAGGACAAACGCCGAAGGAGGGGCCAUCCCAACGCCGCUCUGGGCCCAGCUCCCCAGUGGCCCCUGGAGAACCCGCGAUCGAGAGGAGACCUCCGAGCUGCCUAGACGGGACCCGGAAGUGCGCGCCAGGGAGCCCGAGUUUCCAGCGGUGCCCGGGGUCCGAGGUCGCCGCCGCUGCGGAGCGGCCGUGCGAUGACUGCCCGUCCGUUGUGCCGCGCUUUUUAGAAAUCGUAGAGGAGGUUCUGAAGCAGCACCGGGGAUUGGAUCCAGCCCAUGGAGAAGCUACCUGAGCAGAUAACCCCGGAGUCCCCGUACCCAUCCUCCAAGCAGGAGCCCCGAAAGAGCAAGGGUGAGGAGCUGACCUAGCUGGCUUUCUUUGUCUAAACUUUGUCCUUCCANGACCUGUGGAGCAGACUGGCAGCGGCAGUAUUAUCCUAGCACUAAGUCUUGGAGGAUCUGUCAUUCCAGCACCUGCUAACUGGCUUGGCCUUUGGAGAAGCUCAGUAAAUGUGUGAAUAAAUAAAUGAACUCAGCCA